CCCUCUGCAGAUAAGUUGGGGCGAGGGGAGCUGGUGGGAGCAGCACUGGGGGAGGGGUGGGCCUGGCUGGCUCACCAGCAGGCUUGUCCUGGCUGAGGAGCUCCUGGGUCCGUUCUUUGUAACAGGAGGGGACUAGCCUCUUGUUACGCCACAGUCUCUGCAGCAGUAUCAACCCCCACUUUCCAUCCUCACUAGAUUCAAAAGGCCACUGGAACUGCCAAGGAGAGGCCUUCCUGGGCUGUUGGUGUGCGGAGGAUUCCAAUUAACUGCCCUUGCCCAGACCCUGCCAUCUCCUAGGUGGAGCACUUGACUGCUUGGCUAGUAAGUGAUCCAUGGAUGUGAUGCAAGGAUUUUGAUGAGCUGUGUUACAUCCAGGUCUCAGUCUCAACUGAUCUGCAAAUAACUGCAGUAGAAACGUGGCAACCCAGUGGACAGGUAGUGAGACCUGCCACUUGGAGGAAUUGAGAACCAGAUUCUGUACACCAGGCUGUGCUUAGCUGCUCUGUGUGUGUUCGGCCUGCCGGGGACUUCUGGCAUCCAGGUGCAACAGGAGAGGCUUUUAAAGAUGUCCAACACAAACAUCCCCACAUGAGAGAGAGCGAACACAGGUCACUGAAACAAAGGAAAAGGUGGAGGGGCGCGCACACACAAAGGGAGCAUCCAUCUGAGAGACGGAGAAGCAAAAUGUCAGCGGGAAAAACCACAACCCGGUUCCCAGAGACUAUGAAAGCUGAUCUGAUGUAAAGACUCAACUAAAACCGGAUUCUACAGCAUUCUACAGAAAUACACAGCCGUCAGUCACUCUGGGUUGUAGGUUAGACAGGGGCUUGAUACAGAAAGGCUGUGUGUCUUACAAAGGCCAAAAGGUCAUGCUACCAGGAGAUCAACGUCAACAGCAAAGAGUCCGUGAAGCAGUCUGUAGAGAAAGAGAUAAGGGGUCCAGUCUGACCAUUUUCCUUGAUUUAAAACACCAGCCAACCAACCAACAAACCCUCCAACAUGUUUAAUAAUGUUGAGGUGGGGCAAGAUGGGGCAGCAUCGCAGGGGGAUCAGGAAUCCAGGGGAAGCCUAGCCCGGGCCUCCUGGGAGGCCUCACCCCUCGGGACCCUGACCCAGCCAGGUCUGCAGAUCUGCCCUCCCCUCAGCCACUCCUGCCCAUUUCUCCACAUCACUCCCCUUCUUUCUCCCGCCCUCUUGGAGGGGGAGCCCUUUUGGAGGGGAGGAGCAGCUUCAGCUCUGCAGGUGACCUUGUGCUUUGCAUGGUCCCUCCCCUCAGCUGCUUGCAGAAAGCAGCCAGAGUCUCCCUUUGCUCUGACUCUUGUUAACAUGAAUAAAGAAAACUCAGGAGACAGACAGUGGAUUGGUUGGGUCAAUGAUUCUUCUAAAUUCUUGAAAUUAACUAUCUCUACCACCCAAAAGAGAAGCAUCCUUAAUUUUUCUGUUGGGAGUAUAGGGCAGGGAGACAUUUGGAAUGUUGGCCAUUUUUUAAAGGGUUUUGGAAUUCGCACAAGAGCAGGACAGAACUGACAGCACAUAGCCUCAGCGGGUGGAUGCAGAGGAAAAGGCUGGACUAAGGCCAGGCCUUCCCUUGUCCUCUCCCUGCUCACAGAAAUGGGUCUCAGAGUGUAAAAUCACGUGGCUGUUCUUAAAAGGAUGGACUCCCAAAUCAGGACUGUCAUCGUGAUGCGCGCGCAU